rnacentral:lncRNA from 1 species
CUACAGUGGUACCUCAUGAAGGUGGUGCCACUCCACUCAUCAUUGUGUUAAGCCUUGUAGAUCGUCGCGGCCCUAAUUCUUGAACAUUGGAAUUUCCGUUCGUCGAGGUUUUCGAAUCUCUUGCCAUUGUACUUUUCUUUUACGUUUUAUCAAAGAAUUUUUAGAAAUAAAAAUUCCAAGAAUAAGAACGUACGAAAAAUCUACAAAUGAACAAGAUAAUGAAAAACCUUGAAUGCAAGAGUCUUCUACGAGUGUGUGACUCAAGCUCUCAAUGAAAGCACCAAUUUAUGGAUGCAAAUUUCCGCAUUCUUCUUCUUGGACAAAAUUGCACCUACAAAACAAUUAACACCUUAGGUCAAGGCCAACAGCCUCAUGCACCCAUGAUGUAUGGGGGGAGGCUUUGGGCAAAGUACCUCUGAUGCCAAAGUUAGAAUUUGAGAGAAAAGUGUUUAGAGAAAUUUGAAGAAUUUAGCAAGAGAGUUGGAAUUAGGUUUUUUGAGAAAAUGGGGCGGUAUUUAUACGGGUGUGGGCGAUAUUAUAGGGUGUGGCCGGCCCCUUUGGGAGAGAUAGGAACUAGCCACUUUAGUGGUUUUUUGGGUGUAAUUCACAAUUAAUUAGCUAAUUAAUAAAUUAAUUGAGUAAUAAAUCAAUUAAUUAGCCAAUUAAUAUAAUUUGAAAGAAAUAAUUUGGGACUUAUCUUGUGGGGAGGAUUUGAUGAGGAUGGAUGAAAUAGAUUUUGAAUAAAUACCUAUUUUGAUCACUUUUGACCUUGAUUGUGCCAUGAUUGUCCGUUACUUGCGCGUAGAAAUUUCGAUGUGCCUCGAGGGUA